CCCUCCCUUCCAGGCGUGGGCCCCUCCUCCCUCCCCCCUCCUGUCCUUUCUCCCGCUAGCUCGUGGCCCCAGCCCCGCCCCCGUCCCCCCACCCCACCCCCCACGGCCGGAUACCGAGGAAGCCUGUCUCGGACACUUUCUUCGGGGAGCCCCGGAAGAGUUCGCUUCGCGCUGCUCUUCUGGUCUCUCUCGGCCCCGGUGGCGGCUGCGGCUGCGGCUCGUUUACCGCCGCUUCGUUUCCCUCCGCUCCGUUCUUCGGGUUUCCGGGCCAUCCUCUGCUUUUGUGCCUUUCGGGCUUCAGCAGAGUGCCCAGCAGAUCCAUGCCACAGAAAAGGGCCCCCCACCAUCUGGUCAUUUACCAAGUCAGAUUGAUUCUCUCUUCACAAACUCUUUCCCACCUGCUUCUUUCGAAGGAUUGGGUUUCGUAACUGACAUUCCUGCCUUGAGGAGUUCCGGUUUCCAAACCUGA
rnacentral:lncRNA from 1 species